rnacentral:rRNA from 1 species
AUGCACUGCAGGGUGAUGCAACUGCGAAACCCUGUUGGUUUCGAUUCGAAUAGCGGUCUUGAUUCAAUUCAAUCAGUGCUUUGGUUAGUAGUGCGGGCCUUCCCUUCACUUCCAUGGGCGUUGUUAUACUUUUCCUGGCGCCAUCAUACUGUCUGUGCAAAGGCGGAAGAGGCUUCCUUGCAAUCAUUCGUUUUCAUCCAUCAUGAGGAAAAGAAGAUGGAGCAGAAGCUAAAGCGUCGAGAUUGCCGCGAAUUUAGGCUUUUUUCAGUUUCAAUUUCCAUUUCUUUUGCUGCCCAAUUGAUUAAUUAUUACAGUAUACCUAGCUCAUGGUGA